UACAGAGGUCUCAACCGUUGUUCGGAUUCAUUGGGCGUAAAGGGUGCGUAGGCGGUCGCGCAAGUCGGAUGUGAAAUCUCAGGGCUCAACCCUGAAACUGCAUCCGAUACUGCGUGGCUAGAGUGCUGGAGGGGAGACUGGAAUUUACGGUGUAGCAGUGAAAUGCGUAGAUAUCGGAAGGAACAUCAGUGGCGAAAGCGACUUCCUGGACCAGUACCGACGUUCAGGCACGAAAGCGUGGGGAGCAAACAGG
rnacentral:rRNA from 1 species